GAUGAACGCUGGCGGCGUGCUUAACACAUGCAAGUCGAACGGAAAGGCCCAAGCUUGCUUGGGUACUCGAGUGGCGAACGGGUGAGUAACACGUGGGUGAUCUGCCCUGCACUUCGGGAUAAGCCUGGGAAACUGGGUCUAAUACCGGAUAGGACCACAUUUUGGAUGGUGUGGUGGAAAGGUUUUCGGUGUGGGAUGAGCUCGCGGCCUAUCAGCUUGUUGGUGGGGUAAUGGCCUACCAAGGCGUCGACGGGUAGCCGGCCUGAGAGGGUGUACGGCCACAUUGGGACUGAGAUACGGCCCAGACUCCUACGGGAGGCAGCAGUGGGGAAUAUUGCACAAUGGGCGCAAGCCUGAUGCAGCGACGCCGCGUGGGGGAUGACGGCCUUCGGGUUGUAAACUCCUUUCGCUAGGGACGAAGCGUUUUUGUGACGGUACCUGGAGAAGAAGCACCGGCUAACUACGUG
rnacentral:rRNA from 1 species